rnacentral:rRNA from 1 species
UGAGGAAUAUUGGUCAAUGGGCGCAAGCCUGAACCAGCCAUCCCGCGUGCAGGAAGACGGCCCUAUGGGUUGUAAACUGCUUUUCCAGGGGGAGAAUUUUUCUGUCGUGACAGGAAUUGACGGUACCCUGGGAAUAAGCAUCGGCUAACUCCGUGCCGGCAGCCGCGGUAAUACGGAGGAUGCGAGCGUUAUCCGGAUUUAUUGGGUUUAAAGGGUGCGUAGGCGGAUUGAUAAGUCAGUGGUGAAAAUCUGCAGCUUAACUGUAGACUUGCCGUUGAUACUGUCAGUCUUGAGUGUGGUCAAGGUAGGCGGAAUGUGUAAUGUAGCGGUGAAAUGCUUAGAUAUUACACAGAACACCGAUUGCGAAGGCAGCUUACUGGGCCAUUACUGACGCUGAGGCACGAAAGCGUGGGGAUCGAACAG